CCGAUGAAGAAGCAGGGCAGAUUCCCAUGGCUUAUGUAGUUAGAAAGCCUGGAAGCAAUAUCAAUGAGGCUGCAGUUAGGGAUUUUGUUGCAAAACAAGUUGCACCCUACAAGAAGAUUCGACGUGUAUCGUUUAUCAACUCGAUUCCGAAAUCUCCGGCAGGAAAGAUCUUGAGGAGGGAGCUCAUUAGUCAUGCUCUAUCUAGCCGUUCAUCUAACUUAUAAUUUACAUAUUCAAACAAAGGAUGAAAGCUUGCCGAGCAUUGCAUUCCAAUUCAAUAUAUCAACUUGUUUAUGUUCUUUAGCAUGUAAACACGCAAUCUUGGAAGUCACAGUUGGAUAUUUUUCUGAUCA